AAAAAAAGCUCUAAAAUCAAAUAAGGUCUUAGUUUCUCUCUCUCAAACUCUUUGUUCUCUCUCCCCUCGUCUCUCUCUCGGCUCUCUCUCUCUCCCCGUGUCUUGUUUCUCUGUAGCUUUUUCGACCGAAUUGAGGGGGGCACCAGCGACGCUACCAUCGAUCAAAGGGUUGUCGAUGAAGUCCAAGCGGCUGAGCCCCAUGGUGACUUUAGUUCGAGCAAGUAACCGACCGGUGCCUUCUCAAACUAAAAUCCUCGAGAUUGCCAGCUCACUGUCCUCUCGCUGGAAUCGUAGGGUGAAGAAUUUCAUCUGUGAAUAUCGGGGAUUGGGGCUUAGAAAAGGUGGACUCGAUCGGGAGGAUCUUCCUCUUGGACGGUGAGAAUUUGUUGAAUUUUCUCGGUGCUCUGUUUUCCUUGAACGGCGUGGGAGCUCGUAAAUGCGGGACCUUUGGGUUUGUGUUUGUUUUGCUUCUAUCAUUGGGGUCAAAUUAGGAACAGUGACCUCUAACGCCUUCCUCCUAGUAUCAUUGGGCCUUUCGCUUGAGAAGGAGGUGUUGGGUUAGGGAACUAAGAGCUUCUAUGGCGGGCUAAAGAGCGAGAGAAAGGAUGAGUGUAGCUUAUGAAAUGAUUAUGGGGGAGAGCUUUUAAAAGGGAAGGAGGGAGAGGGAAGAGAGAAAGAGGCAACGAUUUGCCAAAAGAAAGGUAAAGAAAGAUAGAAUGGAGCUUUUGCUCGUCGACUGCAAGUCAACUACAGCUGCCGGCGAUCUAUGAGGAAGAGAGAAACAGUUGAGAGAGAGAGAUAUGGGAGAGAGUGUGGAGAAAGAGAGACAGUCCUGGAGAGAGAGGGAAGAGAGAGGAUGGAAGGAGAGAGUUUUUUAGUUUCAUUUAUUUGUUUUAAUUUUAAAAUAAAUUUUUUAUUUUAA